UUUUGUCAAAACAGAUUUUUCUCUUUCUUUAAUUCAAAGAGUGUAUAAAAGUUCAUUUCAUAAGCCAGUAGUUAAGGUUUUGAUUUGUAGAGCUUUCAGAAAUUCAAAUUUAACACCCCACCUUCUGUUCUGUUUAGUUGGAUUGUCGGUUCCAAUUUGAAACUUUUACAGCAAAUAUCAAACAUUCUUGGUCGUAGGUCAUUAUACAAUCCCACCACAUUUUUCCAUUUACACGCACCAUUGCCUGAACUAGCAUCUUUCUUGGCCAUUCACAGAAUGGAGUGGUGGCUCUGAAACCAUGGAAGAAAUUUUCAACAGGAUACAGCAGCAGCAGCCAGAAGGGAGCGAGCCAUGGCAUACGCCUUUUCUCAUUAGUGGAGGGCGAAUUCGAACCAGUAACUCGGUCAAGCUUAUUAUGACCUUAGCAAUGACAACUGUGGGUGGAGCUGGAAGGAGCGAUGGAUAGCUGUUCGUCCAUGGGGAAAACGGGUUGAACUGAGUCCAUCCAUGCCAAAGAAAAUCAACAGCAAGCAAAAGACAAGUAAAACUACAACUUGGCCAAAAUGAACAUCAUUGUUGUGAGAAUAUGGUUCUCUUAACUCCAUUUUGUUCAGAUUUAUUAUGGACCAUUGGAUGGGAUCGAUGGCCGGGAUUUAAUCUAUUUGAUAUAUUUGUGUUGCCUUGUCUUGGGGGAGAUGUUUUGACUUGAUGGUUGACACAAUAAGGCUCCCUACGUUUUUUGACAGAAAGAUGGGUUUUUCUUCUCUUCUUAAGUCGACUCCCUCUCCCUUUCUUUUGGCUCUCGAUUUUUGGUUGAAGGUUGGUGGGUUCUUUGUCGGUUUCUCUCUCUCUCUCUUUGGAAGGUGAGUAGCAUUACAUGGAGCUGUUCCUGAGCCUAAAUCAGCCAUAAGAGAAAGAAGACAAACUGCUAGACAGAUUCGGCCGAGCUCGGGUUGUACCUUUCCACCUUAUUUGCAUUGUUUUUGCCUUGAAACCCUUUAUUAUUUGAUGAUUAUUGUUUGAUUGAACUCCAAGGAUCCCAACAAACUAGUAUCAGAGCUAGGAGAAGUGAAAUCUGUCCAAAAAUCGAUCAAAAACUUCUAGGAAAUCGCGAUUCCCAUUUUUGGCCGAAUCUGAAAAUCCAAAUUUCGGCCAAACGACUGACCUUUUGGCGAAACUGACCUUGGACCCAUAACCAGCAGACCAAGGCGCUCCCUGUGGUGGGGCGCUUGACCGGACCGACGACCGGCGGCGCGUGACUCUGGCGACGGCGCGUGGCUGGACUUUCCGGCAAGCUUUUUUCAGGCAGUUUACUUAUUUCGAUGUCCUGAACGCACUGAUGUCGUUUGUUUUCUGUUUCAGGUUCUAUAGAAAAAGUUGGACGAUUUUGCCCCUGACUUGACGUCUACAGCAAUUUGGUUCAGAAACUUGGUGGUAUAUAUACUGUUUUUUAACAGUAGUUUGGUAAGAUUAUUCCAGAACUCUCCGUUAGGUUAGGUUUGGUAUCCUUACCGGUUUAUGCAUGAUUAUUACUUGGUUGCCUAUUUGUGAAUUCCGUUGAUUGAAUUCUUGUGAUUAAUUUGUAACCCGGAAGCAUAUUUACUUGCAUUAUAUACCUGUGUUUCAUGAACGGAUUAUGUGAUUGUUAUGCUUCAUUUCUAAAAUUGUUUUUAAACUCGGCAUUCAUAUUUUUAUAUUGAUCAUCUCGAAAAGAAUUUUUCAAAACCUUUUAUGUUUUGUCCAUGAGUACAGGCCACUCUUUUACAGAAUCUGUAAUGGGUUCGAGGGUCGAAUUAUCGCAAUUCGAUGAAAAGGGGGAUUACUCGAUAUGGAAACAAAAAAUGAGGGCCAUUUUGGUCCAACAGAGAAUUGCUAAAGCUCUCGAUGAUUCCGCUACAUUUUCUGAUGAGUUAAAAGCUAAACCAACUGAAAUUGAAGACAUGAAUGAAAUUGCUUACAGUUCUAUAAUUUUGAAUCUAUCUGACAACAUUGUGAGACAAGUUGAUAGUGCUAAAACUGCUAGAACUUUGUGGAUUGCUUUAGAUGCCUUGUUCUUAACUAAAACUUUACCUAAUAAAAUAUACCUGUUGGAAAAUUUAUUUAGUUUUAAGAUGGACCCGGGGAAGGAUGUCGAGGGAAAUUUGAGUGACUUUAGCAUAAUUAUUAAGAGUCUAGCUCAUAAUGAUAAAAAAUUUGACGAUGAGGAUUUAGCUGUCAUAUUGCUAAACUCUUUACCCGAAUCUUACAGAGAAAUGAAAAAUGCCAUAAAAUAUGGUAGGGACACUCUCGCUUAAGCUAUUGUUUCCGAUGCUUUAAAAUCAAGAGAACUUGAAUUAAAAAGAAACAACAGAACUCAUUCCCGGGAAGAGAGUCUAUUUGUUAGGGGAAGACCUGAAAAGAAAGGAUUUAACUUCUAUAACAAGAAGGGGAGAGGAAAAUCUAAAAUGCAAUCUAAAUCUAAAGAUAAAAGUGGUAAGAAAUAUUAUCACUGUGGAAAGUUAGGACAUUUCAAGAAAGA